AUGCUCACUUUGUCAGCACAUAUACUAAAACUGAACAAUACAGAGAAGAUUAGCAUGGCCCCUGCACAAGGAUGACAAGCAAAUUCAUGAAGGGUUCCAUAUUUUU
ensembl:snRNA U6 U6 spliceosomal RNA